CUACAAUGAUGGCAAUAUUUUUCGUCAACAGCAGUUCACCUAUUUGAGUGAGUGUUGAUAGUUUUGGGUCUGAGUGA